ACCCGCCUGGCCCAACAGUGACAGAGCAGGGCGCGCAGCCGCUGAGUGCUCUGGAGUCCCUGCCCCGAGGUGCCACGCCCACGUCGGCCUCACCCGGGCAGGCAUGGGGCGGUCGGGCUUAGCGCCGCACCCCGCCGGCCAGAGCCACCGUCUCUCCAGACGCGGCCCCAGCGCCCACUGGGGAUGGCAAAGACGACAUCCGGUGCGCCGAGGCUGCUCACAAAAAUAUUAUCUGAAGCUUUAAAGCCUCCUGGAGUGAAAGCUAGUUCAUAACCACGCUGUUUGGAGCGAAGAAAACUACCUGGAAUUCUUGUUCUCCAAAGAUAUGGAAUUAUCCCAGCAACAGCCGUCCUUCACUGCUCUGUCCUGAGGACCCUCAGGUGUGGCCCAUCCAGCCCCUCAGUGUUUACCUCUGUCCUAAGGACUCUCAGGUGUGGGCGAUCCAGCCCCUUAGUGUUUCCCUCUGUUUUGGAGAUCCUCAGUCUUCCCACACAGGUUGAGAGAGGAGGGGAUCCAAUUGCCUGUGAGGAGGACACGGCUCCUGGGUGGACCCUGCAGAUUGUGAAGUUCAAGUCACAGCUCCUGGGAAGGUCUCUGUGUGUAAAGAUCGUGGGGGUGAGACAGAUUCAGGGACCACACUCUGCUCUGCUCUGUACCUCUGAGUGUCGAUCCAGCUGCCUUGUGACCAGGACACUUAGAAGAAGCAUGGACCCUGCAAGAGGGCAGGUUUGGAGAGUGAGAUGAGCACGCUUGAGGGAUUAACGUGUAACUUGAACCACUGCCUCGCAAACUACGUGAGGGCGUGCAGAUGGGCUCAAGGACAGCUUGCCUGACUGCAGCCAUAAGGAUGAAGCCUCUUCAGGUAGAGAAGGACUCCAGAUUGAAAUGAAAACCACAACAAAACCCAUGACUGGAAGCCAUCCCCGAUAAGUCUUCUGCGGCCAGCUUCCUGUGGUGAGCCUCCCCAUCAAGGGUAACUGCAGCCUCCUUGGAAAUAAAGGAGAUCAGGACUCCUUUUGUGUGAGCUUCAUUUACUCUGUUUUGCGAGAUUGGCCCACGUUGUCGCAUGUGUUUAAGGAUCUGUCCUUCCCGCGGGGACAUAGCGUGCCAGGGCUGAAAUGUCCUAGAAUCUGUUCACAGGUUCUACUGUCAGUGAGGGUUUGGGUGGUUAUGGCUUUGGGAGGUGAUGAAAGUGCUGCUUUCCUGUGAGUGUCUUUGGGGAGCACACACGCUCUUUUCUGCCGGAUAUUCUCCACCCAAGGGGUCGCCGGUCAUCGCAGAUGUGCUUGUCCACUUUCAGCAGCUACUGACAGAGUUUCCCAGGUGGAGCGUGCAACGGAUAUCACGCCAGCUGAGGAAGACAGUUUGGUUGCUCCCCAGCCUCUCCAACAAUUGGUAUUUUCUGAUGUCUUCAUUCUGGCCAUGCUGAGGGAUGCAUUAAAAGCACAUAGAAAGUCCAGAUGCCUCUGGGCAGCUCACAGAUUCUGAAUGUUGGGAGACAAGGACAACUGUCAAUCUCUGUCAGUGCUAGGACUGAUUCUCAGUAUCUGACCCAAAACUAGGAACUGAGGCGAUGGUUUGUGGUAUUCGAUAACGUUGUCAGCAUAUGCCCUAGAAGUGCUCAAAUCCUGGCACAUACACAACCUAGGGACGGGACAAACGUGAACUCGGCAUGGUCGGUUAUAGCUUGCGUCUAGCACCUUGUUUUUGCAACUCUCAUGUCCAGCUGGGGUGGGGCCAUGCACGGGCAGCAUCCCGAUGUCCCACCACCGCCCCGUCCACCCAGCUCCUCCAGAGGAUGAAUUACAGUGGCUUCCUAGUGGCAGGACAGAUGAGGGGUCCCAUCUAAUGCCAGGUUAAGAUUGUCUUUCUUUUUCUGAGGUAGAAGUGGUGCUUUGCUGUUUUAUCAAUUGAGUUCAGUUAUGGAAACGUGGCCACAUACAUUACAGAGGUUAGCGGCUGUUUCCUCAAGGGCUUGGGAAAGAAGUCUCUUACCAAACGAGGCCUGAUUCAGGAGGGCACAUAAGCUGGGUUGUGUCAGGUUCUUCACUGUGCAUAGAGAGCCUUUUCCUCAGUAGCAAUUAUUUCCUCCGUGGGUUAAUAAUUUUGCAACUGCUGAUUGAAAUAAACAUGACAGGCCGGGCGUGGUGGCCUAUAAUCCCAGCACUUGGGAGGCCUAGGCGAGUGGAUCACCUGAGGUCAGGAGUUCAUGACCAGCCUCGUCAAUAUGGCGAAAUCCCAUCUCUACUAAAAAUGCCAAAAUUAGCCAGGCGUCGUGGCACAUGCCUGUAAUCCCAGCUACUUGGGAGGCUGAGGCAAGAGAACUUCUUGAACCCGGGAGGUGGAGGUUGUAGUGAGCCGAGAUUGCACCACUGCACUCCAGUCUGGUUGACGGAGACUCCACCUCAAAAAACAAACAAACAAACAAAAAAAACAAAAAACAAUAGACAUGACAGACACAUUCUCCAGCAAAAGUCUGCCCUAUGACAGGAGUAGGUUUUCUCUACCCUUGCUUUUAGAUUCCUUUGACUUGGCCGGGCACAGUGGCUCACGCCUGUAAUCCCAGCACUUUGAGAGGCCAAGGUGGGCAGAUCAUGAGGCCAGGAGAUAGAGACCAUCCUGACCAACAUGGUGAAACCCCGUCUCUGCUAAAAUACAAAAAAUUAGCUAGGCGUGGUGGCACGUGCCUGUAGUCCCAGCUAUGCAGGAGGCUGAGGCAGAGAAUUCGCUUGAACCUGGGAGGCGUAGGUUGCAGUGAGCCAAGAUCACGCCACUGCACUCCAGCCUGGGGGACAGAGCAAGACUCUGUCUCAAAAAAAAAAAAAAAGAAAAAAGAAAAAAAUAGAUUCCUUUGACUUGACCCCUAUUUAUCCUCUUGUUUUAUAAAGUCAACAGGAAGAAACAAACAAACAAACAACAAAAAAAAAAACCCACCUGUGCUUAGAGAACACAUCGGAACCUAUGGUACUGUAGUGCCUUCUUUUCUGUCACUGUAGGUGGCCUCAGAGGGGAAAAUUCAUGCAUAUUCUGCAUGUGCCACUUGUGAAGGAGAAAUCUAGAUGAUAGGGAAGGUGAGUCUUCCUUGCUGGCUUUCGUCUGGGGAGCCACCCUGACUCCAGCUUUCUGGUUAGAAUGAGGAUUGGUGGUGAUGAAGGAACAUUAUUUUCCAGGUAAAGCACUGUGACCGUGUUUCCACAAGCAGUUGCGUUUCCUUUAGCUGGUAUGAGUUUGUGCGCGUGGGCGGUGGGGUGUGUCUGUGUGGGGUGGGAUUUGUGUGGGGCGGCCGUGUGUCUGUGCCCACGUCUGUUUCCGCUGGUGUUAUACUCCGCCUAGACAGCAGAGUUGCAGGUGUAAGCUUUCUCAACAAGGAAUGCCGUCCCCAUUACUCCACAGCGUAUAUGUGGAGCCUAACCGGGUGGACUGCAAGGCAGUUCCGACCCUCACCACUCAGGGUUAGCACCAGAUUCCACAACUCCAGAGCUGAGUCCCACAAAACUGCCCUUACUUCAGACACCAGCUGAACUUUGGGAGUCCCCAAGCCACCUGCACUUCUGACAAACUGGCUAUAAAUUCAAGGAUUACCAUGACUUCCUCAGGUUCAAAACUUCACUAGAAAUGACUCAGAGAAUUCAGAAAAGGGCUAUAUUUACAAUUUGAUUAGAAAUGAUCUGCAUAGAGCAAGGCGUAUGGGGCUGGGGGGUCCUGGAUGCAUGGCUUCCAUGCCUUCUGUCUGGGGAAUCGGGUGGCGUGCUGGGGGUGGGUUCCAGGUCACAGUUGGAUUCAAAGGUUUCUUGAUUGGCAGUUGGUUGAAAGGGUUAAACUCUGUCUUAAAAGUUGAAAUCAGCUUCAAUUAGGUAACAUGGUGUGGUCGGGGGUGGGAGUUUGGGAAGUUGUGGGAGCCAAGGUUCUUGUCACGUAAAUGACACUUCCAGGCAGAGGGCUUCAGAGAGGAUAGACGUAAACGUCUCUUAUUGGACUUAAAAGGUAACAGACUUUCUGGAAAGACCUAGUGAUGGAGCCAUAUGCUCUACAGAUUGCAAAUUUCCCACAAAGAGACAGCUGUGUUGGGCCAUUCCAAAAAAUGUCAGAGAAAUCUGUCUCGGGGUAAAAUACUCAGACUUCCUUCAGGACCUGCUUUCAGGUGAUGCUAUACCAGAGCGCAUUGGAAGUUGGGUAUCUUAUUGCUACAAGGCGUUUCUUCCGUCAGUCUUAGGAUCUCUAUUUUCAUGUCACUGCUGCUCAGUUGGGUCUGAACCACAAAGGGUGGAGGGAAUACUGAGGCGUGCCCGACCCCUCUUCUCCCUCAUGGCCUGAAUGAAGUUUUCAGGUUUAUUUGGGUCCCCUUGGCUGAGAGGAGGAUCCGUUCAGUUCAUUGAGGGGCUUAGAAAUUUAAUUUUAAUUUACAUUGUAAAGUGUAAACAUAUACAAUGUUGAUCAGUUAUACCUGAAUAGAGCUGAGGGAAAAGAGAAUAAAAGGAACCAUGACUAACAACAAUGAAAAGAAAUGGAAGCUGAGUCACAUUUAAAAUAUUUAUUAAUCUGUUUUCAAAUAACAGAAACAAGACCAUUACAGAGCAACAUAAAUAGCAUCUUUUUGUGAAAAAUAUUUUCCAAAGCAAAAGUGAUUUGUGGGAAAAGUGGCAUUGCUUUCCCAUUCUCCGAGAGUCUGUCACAUCUGACAACAGGAGCUGGGACCCUGUGCCUGCCUCAGUCGGGGCACCGCACUCCCCACAGCACACAGCCUCUGGGCACUUGGCCAGGCAUAGUAGCUCAUACUUGUAAACCCAAUUUUUUCCUUCCUCCCUCCCUUCCUUCUUUCAUCUCUCUCUCUCUCUCUCUCCCCCCGCUUUUUUUUUUUUUUUUUUUAAGAUGGAGUCUGGCUCUGUUACCCAGGCCGGAGCCUAAUCUCGCCUCACUGCAACCUUUGCAUCCCAGGUUCAAGCAAUUCUCCUUCCUCAACCUCCCAAGUAGCUGGGAUUACAGGCAUGCAACGUGAUGCCCAGAGAAUCAAUGCCUUGGUCAGCCAGAGAAAUCACAGUCCCUAAUGCAAGAGCUGAACAAGUGCCUCACUUGAUGGGAAGUCCCCAGGCUGAGCUGAGACGGAUGGAAAAGAAAGCUCCUCUAAAUAAUAAAGGCCGCCUCUAAAAAACCCACAGCUAACAUCAUAAUCAAUGGGGAACAAUUGAAAGUCUUUCCACUAAGAUUGAGUUCAAGACAGGGAUGCCUAGCCUUGUCACUUUUAUUCAACAUGGUACUGGAAGUACUAGCAAGAGCAAUUAGACAAAUUUAAAAAAAGGCAACUAAAAAAAGAAACAAAUUAUCUCUAUUUGCAGAUGACAUGAUCCAUAUGAAAAAACCUCAGAUUUCCCAUAAGAAAAUGUUAAAACUAAAUGAAUUCAGUAAAGUUGCAGCAUACAAACUCAACAUACAAAAAUCAGGAGCGUUUCUAUACACAAAUAACAAUCUAGCUGAAAAACAAAUCAAGAAAACAAUCCCAUUUACAGUAGCACCAAUCAAAAUAAAAUACUUAGGAAUAAAUUUAGACAAGAAGGUGAAAGACUAGUACACUGAAAACUAUAAAACACCGAUGAGAGAAAUUUAAGAAUACACAAACAAUGUAAAAACAUCCCACAUUUCUGAAUUGGAAGAAUUAAAAUUGUUAAAAUGGCAUACUAUCCAAAGCAAAUAUACAGUUUUUAAGACAAUCCCUAUCAAAAUUCUAAUCGCAUUUUUCACAGACAUAGAAAAAUACAAUCCUGCAAUUGACAUGGAACCACAAAAAACCCCAAGCUAACACAAUACAGAGGAAAAAAAUUAGUGCUGGAGGCAUAACACUACGUGAUUUAAAAUUACAUACAAAGCUAUAGUAAUAAGAACAAUAUAUGGUAUUGGCAUCAAAACAAAAACAUAGACCAAUGGAACAGAAUAAGAAGCCUAGAAAUAAAUCAAAACAUACACUGUCAACUAACUUUCAACAAGAGCAACCAAGAGGACACAGUGGAAAAAAGACAGUUUCUUCAAUAAAUGAUGCUGUAAAACUGGAUUUUCACAGGCCAAACCAUGAAAUUGGGCCCUUAUCUUACACCCUAUAGAAAAUCAACUCAAACUAGAUAAAAGACAUAAAUAAGAUAUGAAACCAUGAAACUCCUAGAAGAGAAUGUAGGGGACAGCCCCCUCGACGCUGGCCUUAGCAAUGAUUUUUCAGAUAAUCCACCAAAAGCCAGGCUGCAUGCAAAAGUCAACAAGGAGGACCGCAUCAAACUAAAACCCUUCUGUGCAGCAAAGGAAACAAUCAAAAAAAGGCAACCUACAAACUGGGAAAAAUAUUUGCAAGUCACUAACUGAUCAAGGGCUAAUAUCCAAAAUCAAUGAAGAACCCUUACAACUUAAGCAGACAAAUAACCCUGUUAAAAAGCUAACAAGAGACCUGAACAGACAUUUCUCCAAAGACGACAAAAACAAUCAGCAGGAAGUGGGGAGAUGAAGGCCAAAACACGCAAAGUAGCAGACGUCGGAUGAACAAGGCCAGAGACCUAAUGUAUAACAUGAGGACACUGUCUUGGGAUUUUUGUUGAGUAAGUAGAUUUUCGCUGCCCUUGACACACAAAAAAGUACCUAUGUGAGAUGGUAGGUAUGUGAACUUGCUGACUAUAGUAACCAUUUUACUACUGACGUGUACCUUUGACAUCAUGCUGUCACCUCAAAUAUACACAGUAACAUUUAGUUUUAAAAAAGAAAAGUUUGGCCAGGAGUGGUGACUCAUGCCUGUAAUCCCAGCACGUUGGGAGGCUGAGGUGGGUGAAUCAACCUGAGGUCAGGCGUUUGAGACCAGCCUGGCCAACAUGGUGAAACCCCGUCUCUACGGAAAAUACAAAAAUUAGCCGGGUGUGGUGGUGGAUGCCCGUAAUCGCAGUUAUUCAGGAGGCUGAGGCAGGAGAAGUGCUUAACCCCGGGAGGCAGAGGUUGCAGUGGGCUGAGAUUGCGCCGCCGCUCUCCAGCCUGGGUGACAGAGUGAAACUCCAUCUUGAAAAAAGAAACAAAAAAGUUGGCGGGGGGCGGAGCUCGGCGGAGACGGGAAGGGGUCGCAGUGGCUGCCGCUCCUCGAGUUGGGGGCCCCCUCGGACACCGCCAGGCAGACGGCGAGUACCGAGCGUGGGUGGCCGCGGUGUCCGUGGGCCACGCUCAGCUGCGGUCAGAGGCGACAUGAGCGCCGCGGGGCUGCUGGCCCCGGCCCCGCCCGGGCUGGAGCGUCCCCGGGGAGGACGAAGAGCUGGAGAGCGCCAAGGACGACGAGCGCAGCUGCCGGGCCGCGAGUCGGACGAAGACACUGAGGAUGCUAGUGAAACUGACCUGGCAAAGCAUGAUGAAGAAGACUAUGGGGAAGUGAAGGAACAGAUGUAUCAGGACAAACUGGCUUCUCUCGAGAGGCAGUUGCAACAACUACAAGAAGGUACAUUACAGGAAUAUCAGAAGAGAAUGAAAAAACUAGGUCAGCAGUACAAAGAGAGGAUACGGAAUGCUGAACUCUUCCUCCAGCUGGAAACUGAACAAGUGGGACGAAAUUACAUGAAAGAAAAGAAGGCAGCAGUGAAAGAAUUUGAAGACAAGAAGGUUGAGCUGAAAGAGAACCUGAUUGCUGAGCUAGCAGAAGAGAAGAAAAUGAUUGAAAACGAAAUGCUGACAAUGGAACUGAAUGGAGAUUCUAUGCAGGUGAGACCUAUCAUGACCAGAAAGUUGCGGAGGCGACCAAAUGAUCCCGUCCCCAUCCCAGACAAGAGGAGGAAACCUGCUCCAGCCCAGCUAAACUAUUUGUUAACAGAUGAACAGAUCAUGGAGGAUCUGAGAACAUUAAAUAAGCUUAAGUCACCCAAGAGACCAGCAUCUCCAUCCUCUCCUGAGCACUUGCCUGCGACACCCGCGGAAUCUCCAGCCCAGAGGUUUGAAGCUCGGAUAGAAGAUGGCAAACUGCACUAUGACAAAAGAUGGUACCACAAGAGCCAGGCCAUCUAUCUGGAGUCAAAGGACAACCAGAAACUGAGCUGCGUGAUCAGUUCUGUAGGAGCCAAUGAGAUCUGGGUGAGGAAGACAAGUGACAGCACCAAGAUGAGGAUCUACCUGGGCCAGCUUCAGCGCGGGCUCUUCGUCAUCCACCGGCGCUCAGCUGCUUGACUUUCUACAGUGCUCUUCUCUUGACCCUUUUUCUGGAGUGGGUUUUAUUUUUGUUUUGUUUUGUUUUCUUCUUAACAGAAAAAUGUUAACUUACUGGGAGUAGCUACUCAGCCUUAGAAAUGGAGAGCAUUGUAGUGGAUUCUUUAAGGCACUUUUGUGGCCAGCCCCUUCCAACUUCCUCAGUCUUUUCUGCCUCAACUUCUUCCAGACAUCAGUCACCAUGAGACUGUUUUACUUUCAGGAGUAUUGGGGGGUUUGAUUUACUUUCCUUUUAUUUCUUUGUUUUUUGCUUAUACUUGUUUUUGAAAACCUCCUCUGAGUUUGAAGGGACAGCUAUUUUUAUUAAUUAUCUUUAAGUCUCUCUGCCAUGGAGAAGAGCAGGAAGGCAUACACUGUCCAGUGCAUUUUCAUUAGUGGAUCACGUAGCUACUUUCCCUGUCGAGUCCAAUUCACUAUUUCCUCAGAAGCUUGGGGCAGAGGUCCUAGCAGAAGGAGAUGAAUUCUCCUGGCUCUCAGCCUUCUUGGAGAAAUAAAUGCUUUGUGUAACAUCUGUGCACACCAUCCAUUCCACUGGCUGAGCGAUGGAAAAGCUUGCCUGGGAGACUCUGUGCACUGAAGUAAAUGGGGUUGGGGGAGGGGACAUUUCAUAUUUAUAAUGUGCUGAAGGUACCAUAUUUUAAAUGUUAUUUAAUGCGGUGAUUUAUUCAAACAUUUAUUCUAGCUUAAGCUGGAAUAAGAAGUGGUCAUUUCAGAAGUUUUCAUUUGUAAUUCCUUCCUCUCCCUUGUUCCCAAGUAGGUAGUAGUAGUAUGUGCCACAGGCUGAUUAUCUGGGUAAUCUCUUAUGGGUGGGAGGUGAGAUUGAUAGUGCAGUAAUCAGUGAUCUAUAGACCCGCAUGCACGAUUCAAGUUUCACUCUUGUGGCUGAUGCCAUCAUUGCACAUUGGCCAUUCCAAACCUGCGGAGAACUUUGUUGUCAGGCCCUCAGCACUCAGAGCUUCAUUUGGCCCAGGUUGAAGACAAGGAAAGCUCUGCCGUGGCUGCCUCUGCACUGACACCCUCCCUAAUGAGUCCUGAUGAAACAGCCUUUCCUACAUCCUUCCCUCAUUCCCAUGAUUGGAGAAAUGAUUCAUUGGGUGAUGAGUGUUGGGGUUUUCCAUACUCAUGUUGCCAUCUUGAGAUGUUUAAAAAAUUUGGGGUUAGAGCAACUGUUAGCGUCUCCAUGGGCAAUCAGUAGAACUUACACAUUCCAGGAAAUCUUUCUUUGUAAAUAAUUCUUUUGGUCUCAAGUGAUUCCCUUCAAGUUGUCUCUUGAUGUACAAACCCCAAAGCAAGUUGGGGGGCUGUGAUGACAAUUAAAUCACCUUCUCUGAAGUUCUGGCUCUACAGAGACCAGAACUUACUGACUUGUGCAGACUUGUACAAGUAAAGACUUAUACAGAUAGAUUUUUGUUUUAACUUAUAAUCUGUUUUUUCCUCUUUUUUUUUUUUCUGGUGUUGGAGUCCUAUUUAGAAAACAGGAUAAAUGACGCUGUUAUAAAAAAAAAAAUUAUCUCCAAUCGAGAGAAAACCACUAUUACCAUGUUUUAUGUUCCUUUCCAAAAUAUUUUAUGAAUAAAAAUUGUUCAAAUUUAUUUUUAUUUUAUUUUAUAUAUAUAUUUUUAUUAUACUUUAAAUUCUAGGGUACAUGUGCACAACGUGCAGGUUUGUUACAUAUGUAUACAUGUGCCAUGUUGGUGUGCUGCACCCAUUAACUCGUCAUUUACAUUAGGCAUAUCCUAAGGCUAUCCCUCCCCCCUCCCCCCACCCCACAACAGGCCCCGGUGUGUGAUGUUCCCCUUACUGUGUCCAAGUGUUCUCAUUGUUCAAUUCCCACCUAUGAGUGAGAACAUGCAGUGUUUGGUGUUUUGUCCUUGUGAUAGUUUGCUGAGAAUGAUGGUUUCCAGCUUCAUCCAUGUCCCUACAAAGGACAUGAACUCAUCCUUUUUUAUGGCUGCAUAGUAUUCCAUGGUGUAUAUAUGCCACAUUUUCUUAAUUCAGUCUAUCAUUGUUGGACAUUUGGGUUGGUUCCAAGUCUUUGCUAUUGUGAGUAGUGCCGCAAUAUGAGACCUUAUACCUGAAAAUUCGAAGCAUGUAACACAUUACCUAUAAAAGUGUCUGAUCUCCUCUUUUCCUGUUUGAAUGCCCUUUAUUCAUUUCUCUUGUCUGGUUGUUGUGGCCAGGAUUUCUAAUGUUGAAAAGGAGUGGUGAGAGAGGUGAUCCUUAUCUUGUGCUGGUUUUCAAGGGGAAUGCUUCCACCUUUUGUCCAUUCAGUACGAUGUUGGCUGUGGGUUUGUGACAGAUGGCUCUUGUUAUUUAUUUAUUUUUUGAGAUGGAGUUCCACUCUUCUUGCCCAAGCUAGAGUGCAAUGGCACGAUCUUGGCUUACUGCAACCUCCGCCUAAUGGGUGCAAGUGAUUCUCCUGCCUCAGCCUACCUAGUAGCUGUGAUUACAGGCACGUGCCACCAAUCCUGGCUAAUUUUUUUUGUAUUUUUAGUAGAAAUGGGGUUUUACCAUGUUCGCCAGGCUGGUCUCGAACUCCUGACCUCAGGUGAUCUGCCCACUUCGGCCUCCCAAAGUGCUGGGAUUACAGGCAUGAGCCACCGUGCCCAGCCCAUGGCUCUUGUUAUUUUGAGGUAUGUUCCUGCAAUACCUAGUUUAUUGAGUUUUUAAUAUGAAGGGAUGUUGAAUUUUAUCAAAAGCCUUUUCUGCAUCUAUUGAUAUGAUCAUGUGGUUUUUGUCUUUAGUUCUGUUUAUGCAAUGAAUCACAUUUAUUGAUUUGCAUAUGUUGAACCAG
rnacentral:lncRNA from 1 species